AAAGAAAAGCUGGCUGAAGCAGAAGUCCUAUGUUUUAGCCACAUACUUUCCCUCCCUCCACACAAGGUCAGCAAGGGAAGAAGGGGCCCGGUCUCCUAGUAGCCCAAGAAGGAAAAUCAGCCGCUCACUCCUUGGCAUCCUGAAUAAGAACUGCCAACUGAUCCAACGAUGUCCUCAGCAUCUCUUGACACAAGUUGGUUACUCCUUUAAACAAACAGCAACAAUACCCGACGCCAUGGAAACCAGCCUUCCUCACAGGCAGGAGACUGUGGAUCACCUUGGCAACCUAGGGACAGGCCUCCACAUGCUCUGUGGACUGGCUGUGGUGACAAGUGACUGCCAGCCUCAACCCUCUGAUUUCUGUAGGUAAGUCUGCCUUUUGCUUCCAGGGACUCCUUUCUCCAGAGAGUGCUAACUAACCCACAUCCAUUUUCAAUGUUUCCCUGACUCUCAGACCCAUCUUCUUAAGUAUUCUUCUAAGGAUG